GGACUUGUGGAAAGAGUUGUUCUACUUGGAGCACCCAUUGCAAUUAAAGAAAUGAACUGGGAAGCUACUCGGCAGGGAUUGUUGCUUUACCUUCUGCAUUCAUAUUCACAAAUAUUGAUAUUGUAUCAAUAAUAGGCACAUAUGCAUCAGUUACUGUUAUUGCAUAUGUUUAACAUUCUCUAUUAUGCAGGUGGUGGCUGGAAGGUUUGUGAAUGCAUAUUCUACCAACGAUUGGAUACUUGGAAUUGCGUUUCGUGCCAAGUAUGCAAGUCUUAAAUCUACUGUGAAAAUAUUAGGAUUGUGAAAUUGAUAGGUAGAUCACAUCUUGCUUUUGAAGUUGAGAUUUGUGCCUAACUGUGUCAAUAGAAGUAUCAAAACAAAAGAAGAAGUGAAUUUUUUUUGUCCAUUCUUUUGCUUAUUGAUUUUCGAUGUUGCCCUUUGCCUAUAACAGUCUUCUGACACUAGGAUUGGCAGGAAUUCAACCAGUGGAAGUGCCUGGAAUUGAAAAUGUAAAUAUUAUUCGUAAUGCUGGUCAACAUAGCGUAACAUAUGUUUGGGAUUUCAACCUUUAUCUCUCCAUUGUUUUUGACAGGUUAACGUAACUAGCAUAAUUGAUGGUCACUCUUUUAUCUUUGGAAUGCCCAGGAAAUCCUAGAACAGCUCGAACCGAUUUUCAGUCCUCCCCCUGUCAAAACAUAGUUUGUACUGAAAUUCUGGCAUAGAGUGCAAUUGCAUCAGAGGCUUUGUUCUUGUCGGAAAUGGAGGUUUGGAUCUAAUUUUAAGUGUUACCGUAGUCGGCUUGUGUAUUCUUGAACCGAGGAUAUUUCAUUAGUUACUGCUUGGUACUUCUAUAAAUUUCAUUUUAUCCUCAUUCUUUGCGCAAUAUGAAUCAUAAGAAUUGAACAAAUGAAACAGGUAAACAGGUGGUAAUAUUGAAGAUCUGUACUUGCUCGUGUUACUGAGGAGAUGAAGAGUGGCUAUAAAAGUGCAAAACAAAUGCUGGAGUUCCCAUACGAGAAAUUAAGUAGAUGCCAUAUUUUUGGAACUGAUACAAAUCAACAUUGCCAAGAAUGUAGAAUGUAAAAUGAAUAAUGUUAAUUUACAUAAACAUAAAAUGUC
rnacentral:lncRNA from 1 species